rnacentral:rRNA from 1 species
CCUACGGGAGGCAGCAGUGAGGAAUAUUGGUCAAUGGGCGCGAGCCUGAACCAGCCAAGUCGCGUGAGGGAGGACGGCCCUACGGGUUGUAAACCUCUUUUGCCGGGGAGCAACGGGCGUCACGUGUGGCGCCACUGAGUGUACCCGGAGAAAAAGCAUCGGCUAAGUCGGUGCCAGCAGCCGCGUUAAUACGGAGGAUGCGAGCGUUAUCCGGAUUUAUUGGGUUUAAAGGGUGCGUAGGCGGAUCGUUAAGUCAGUGGUCAAAUUGAGGGGCUCAACCCCUUCCCGCCAUUGAAACUGGCGUUCUUGAGUGGAAGAGAAGUAUGCGGAAUGCGUGGUGUAGCGGUGAAAUGCAUAGAUAUCACGCAGAACCCCGAUUGCGAAGGCAGCAUGCCGGCUUCCGACUGACGCUGAAGCACGAAAGCGUGGGGAUCGAACAGGAUUAGAUACCCUUGUAGUC